rnacentral:lncRNA from 1 species
CACAGAAUUUUGUGUCAAUAAAUGUGCCAACAUGCACAAUUUUGUGUGCAUAUGUGCACAUGGGUACAUGCACAGGUGUGCAAACAUGCACGUAUGCAUGCAGACGUGCACAUACAUGACCACGUGCACGCACACAUGCACACAUGUAUUUGCAUAUGCACACACACAUGCACAAACAUGCACACACACACCCAUACAUGCACACGUCCACAAACAUGCACACAUGCAUCCAUGCACUCACACAUCUGUGCACAUGCAGACAAGCACACACACCCCCAUGCACAAACACGCAGACAUGCACACACAUGUGCACGUGUCCCUCCCAGACCCCCCCAUGGUGCCAACCCAUCUCCCUCCACGCCAGGGCCAUGGGGUCGCCAUGCACACCCCACCUCAGUGCAGCGCAGCAUCACUGCCCCGCACGCAGUUGCCAUGGCAAUGCCUGGGCCACCCUGCAGAGGAUAACGCCGAGCAUCCACCCCUUCCCGUGCAUCCCUGGCCGAAGCAGAAGCACGCACUAUUCUGCACCAUUGGAGCACCCCACACGUCCCUCACUUGGUUAUUUCAUGUCAGGCUCUGGCCUGCUGCCAUUAGGCUGCAUGGCUGGGAAUGCAUCAGCGAAAACUCAGGUCCCUCAAGUAAUGACUCAAGACCAUUUUUCUGCACACGAAUAUACAAAGGAAAGCGUGAAGUCACCCGCAGCCUGCGAAGCUGAAUUCCCAGUUCUCGAGGCAAAGGAACAAGGGGCAAGCUGAGAGCUCAGGGGCCGCCGUGGUUGCACGCCAGCGAUUAACAGAGCCGCUUCAUCAGCAAACACGUGUGGAACAGAACCAAGACUGCAAAUAUUUCAUAAAAAGAGAAAGGGCUAAAUGAAUCGAGUAAAAUGUUUGCUGUGAAUUGCUUGGCUGCUCGUAACUGGAAGGCUGCAUUUCUACAGCCCAGUAUGACUUUUUUUUUUUCUUUUUUUUAAUUUUCCUUUUCCUUUCAGCAAAACCACCAACAUCUCAGGAUCCGAGCCGUGCCUUGCUGAUGGUUUGGGGUGAUAUUUUCCUCUGCACCAUUGGGCUGUUAUUAAUGAACUGCCAAACCUGGGGAAAAAAAUGGACCCAAGUGUGUCCG